UACGUAGGGGGCGAGCGUUGUCCGGAUUUAUUGGGCGUAAAGAGCGUGUAGGCGGCCAGGUAGGUCUGCUGUGAAAACUCGAGGCUCAACCUCGAGACGUCGGCGGAAACCAUCUGGCUAGAGUCCGGUAGGGGAGCGUGGAAUUCCUGGUGUAGCGGUGAAAUGCGCAGAUAUCAGGAGGAACACCAGCGGCGAAGGCGGCGCUCUGGGCCGGAACUGACGCUGAGGAGCGAAAGCGUGGGUAGCAAACAGG
rnacentral:rRNA from 1 species